GACAGCAGCAGCCGCGGUAAUACGAAGGGUGCAAGCGUUACUCGGAAUUACUGGGCGUAAAGCGUGCGUAGGUGGUGGUUUAAGUCCGUUGUGAAAGCCCUGGGCUCAACCUGGGAAUUGCAGUGGAUACUGGGUCACUAGAGUGUGGUAGAGGAUAGUGGAAUUUCCGGUGUAGCAGUGAAAUGCGUAGAGAUCGGAAGGAACAUCUGUGGCGAAGGCGACUAUCUGGGCCAACACUGACACUGAGGCACGAAAGCGUGGGGAGCAAACAGGAUUAGAUACCCCCGUAGUCCCUGUCUCUUAUAC
rnacentral:rRNA from 1 species